GAUGAACGCUGGCGGCGUGCCUAAUACAUGCAAGUCGAGCGAACGGGCGAGAAGCUUGCUUCUCUGAUGUUAGCGGCGGACGGGUGAGUAACACGUGGAUAACCUACCUAUAAGACUGGGAUAACUUCGGGAAACCGGAGCUAAUACCGGAUAAUAUUUUGAACCGCAUGGUUCAAAAGUGAAAGACGGUCUUGCUGUCACUUAUAGAUGGAUCCGCGCUGCAUUAGCUAGUUGGUAAGGUAACGGCUUACCAAGGCAACGAUGCAUAGCCGACCUGAGAGGGUGAUCGGCCACACUGGAACUGAGACACGGUCCAGACUCCUACGGGAGGCAGCAGUAGGGAAUCUUCCGCAAUGGGCCAAAGCCUGACGGAGCAACGCCGCGUGAGUGAUGAAGGUCUUCGGAUCGUAAAACUCUGUUAUUAGGGAAGAACAUAUGUGUAAGUAACUGUGCACAUCUUGACGGUACCUAAUCAGAAAGCCACGGCUAACUACGUG
rnacentral:rRNA from 1 species